CUUGCUCCUUUGACGUUAGCGGCGGACGGGUGAGUAACACGUGGGUAACCUACCUAUAAGACUGGGAUAACUUCGGGAAACCGGAGCUAAUACCGGAUAACAUUUGGAACCGCAUGGUUCUAAAGUGAAAGAUGGUUUUGCUAUCACUUAUAGAUGGACCCGCGCCGUAUUAGCUAGUUGGUAAGGUAACGGCUUACCAAGGCGACGAUACGUAGCCGACCUGAGAGGGUGAUCGGCCACACUGGAACUGAGACACGGUCCAGACUCCUACGGGAGGCAGCAGUAGGGAAUCUUCCGCAAUGGGCGAAAGCCUGACGGAGCAACGCCGCGUGAGUGAUGAAGGGUUUCGGCUCGUAAAACUCUGUUAUUAGGGAAGAACAAAUGUGUAAGUAACUGUGCACAUCUUGACGGUACCUAAUCAGAAAGCCACGGCUAACUACGUGCCAGCAGCCGCGGUAAUACGUAGGUGGCAAGCGUUAUCCGGAAUUAUUGGGCGUAAAGCGCGCGUAGGCGGUUUCUUAAGUCUGAUGUGAAAGCCCACGGCUCAACCGUGGAGGGUCAUUGGAAACUGGGAAACUUGAGUGCAGAAGAGGAAAGUGGAAUUCCAUGUGUAGCGGUGAAAUGCGCAGAGAUAUGGAGGAACACCAGUGGCGAAGGCGAACUUUCUGGUCUGUAACUGACGCUGAUGUGCGAAAGCGUGGGGAUCAAACAGGAUUAGAUACCCCUGGUAGUCCACGCCGUAA
rnacentral:rRNA from 1 species